rnacentral:rRNA from 1 species
UACGAAGGGUGCUAGCGUUGUUCGGAUUUACUGGGCGUAAAGCGCACGUAGGCGGAUUGUUAAGUCAGGGGUGAAAUCCCGGAGCUCAACUCCGGAACUGCCUUUGAUACUGGCAAUCUUGAGGCUGGAAGAGGUUGGUAGAAUUCCCAGUGUAGAGGUGAAAUUCGUAGAUAUUGGGAAGAAUACCAGUGGCGAAGGCGGCCAACUGGUCCAGAUCUGACGCUGAGGUGCGAAAGCGUGGGGAGCAAACAGG